rnacentral:rRNA from 1 species
UGAGGAAUAUUGGUCAAUGGGCGAGAGCCUGAACCAGCCAAGUCGCGUGAAGGAAGACUGCCUUAUGGGUUGUAAACUUCUUUUAUACAGGAAUAAAAAGGCUUACGUGUAGGCCAUUGCAAGUACUGUAUGAAUAAGCAUCGGCUAACUCCGUGCCAGCAGCCGCGGUAAUACGGAGGAUGCGAGCGUUAUCCGGAUUUAUUGGGUUUAAAGGGUGCGCAGGCGGGCUUUUAAGUCAGCGGUGAAAUCUGGACGCUUAACGUCCAAACUGCCGUUGAAACUGGGAGUCUUGAGUAUGGAUGAAGUAGGCGGAAUUCGUUGUGUAGUGGUGACAUGCAUAGAUAUAACGAGGAACUCCGAUUGCGUAGGCAGCUUACUAAGCCAUAACUGACGCUCAUGCACGAAAGCGUGGGGAUCAAACAGGAUUAGAUACCCUGGUAGUCCACGCCGUAAACGAUGAUUACUAGUUGUAUGCGAUAUGAUAGUAUGUGACUAAGCGAAAGCGAUAAGUAAUCCACCUGGGGAGUACGCCGGCAACGGUGAAACUCAAAGGAAUUGACGGGGUCAUAGCUGUUUCCUG